rnacentral:rRNA from 1 species
UACAGAGGGUGCAAGCGUUAAUCGGAAUUACUGGGCGUAAAGCGUGCGUAGACGGUUGCGUAAGUCAGAUGUGAAAGCCCCGGGCUCAACCUGGGAAUUGCAUUUGAGACUGCGUAGCUAGGGUGCGGAAGAGGGAAGCGGAAUUCCGGUGUAGCGGUGAAAUGCGUAGAUAUCGGAAGGAACACCAGUGGCGAAAGCGGCUCCUGGUCCAGCACCGACGUUCAGGCACGAAAGCGUGGGGAGCAAACAGG